GAUGAACGCUGGCGGCGUGCCUAAUACAUGCAAGUCGAGCGAACAGACGAGGAGCUUGCUCCUCUGACGUUAGCGGCGGACGGGUGAGUAACACGUGGAUAACCUACCUAUAAGACUGGGAUAACUUCGGGAAACCGGAGCUAAUACCGGAUAAUAUAUUGAACCGCAUGGUUCAAUAGUGAAAGACGGUUUUGCUGUCACUUAUAGAUGGAUCCGCGCCGCAUUAGCUAGUUGGUAAGGUAACGGCUUACCAAGGCGACGAUGCGUAGCCGACCUGAGAGGGUGAUCGGCCACACUGGAACUGAGCCACGGUCCAGACUCCUACGGGAGGCAGCAGUAGGGAAUCUUCCGCAAUGGGGGAAAGCCUGACGGAGCAACGCCGCGUGAGUGAUGAAGGUCUUCGGAUCGUAAAACUCUGUUAUUAGGGAAGAACAAAUGUGUAAGUAACUAUGCACGUCUUGACGGUACCUAAUCAGAAAGCCACGGCUAACUACGUG
rnacentral:rRNA from 1 species